GACGAACGCUGGCGGCGUGCUUAACACAUGCAAGUCGAACGAUGAGGCCGGAGCUUGCUCUGGUGAAUUAGUGGCGAACGGGUGAGUAACACGUGAGUAACCUGCCCUUGACUCUGGGAUAACUGCGGGAAACUGUAGCUAAUACCGGAUACGACCCUCGGAGGCAUCUCCUGGGGGUGGAAAGAAUUUCGGUCAAGGAUGGACUCGCGGCCUAUCAGCUAGUUGGUGAGGUAAAGGCUCACCAAGGCGACGACGGGUAGCCGGCCUGAGAGGGUGACCGGCCACACUGGGACUGAGACACGGCCCAGACUCCUACGGGAGGCAGCAGUGGGGAAUAUUGCACAAUGGGCGCAAGCCUGAUGCAGCAACGCCGCGUGAGGGAUGACGGCCUUCGGGUUGUAAACCUCUUUUAGCAGGGAAGAAGCGAAAGUGACGGUACCUGCAGAAAAAGCCACGGCUAACUACGUGCCAGCCGCCGCGGUAA
rnacentral:rRNA from 1 species